UUGUUUCAAGUGAAGGCAUGUGCAUGGAGAACAAUUUUGGGCCUUAAGGGUUUAGGUGGGCCUAAGGCGGUCCAAAACAACUUGAAUAGGGCCCAAAUAUGGUAUGGAAGCUCAUGGAAGGAGGAUAAGGAUGGAAUACUCUAGAAUUACUUAAGGGUGAAGGAAGAGGGAAAGAGAGAAAAAUGGAUAAGCUUGAGGAAUUAAGGUAGCAACCUCACCAUUUGCCACCUAAACCCCUCUUGGUCGACCUUUUGGGAUUCC
rnacentral:lncRNA from 1 species